GGAAGCCUCGUCCGCGAGUCGCGGACUCCGGGCCCGGAGGGCGGCGGGAGGUCCUGCGCUGCGGUGCGGCUAUAGCGCCCGCGCUCCCCGCGGAAGAACCGCCGAGUCGAGCGCUGAAGGUGUGGCCCAGCAGGAGUGUCAGAACGUGCCUAGCCGCUCGAGUCGGAGUCGCCAGAACCCCCGGAAGACGAGCCGUUCACCGGCAGGCCAACUGGGGCUCCUUCGUGUAGUGGACUGUCAGCCAAGCGUCGGGAACGCAGUGUCGUGGGUGUGCGGCUGACCGGGUGAGGAGGAUCUUUCACAGAGACCGUGCCCCUCCGUGGAGUCCAGGAACAGGUGCUGGAGGCGACGGAGGCCGAGGCAGUGGUUCCCUGGGCGGGUGUGGUGAUAGGGCAGGGGGCACUGUGGGCGGGGAUGGGGAUUCGCCCCCGUCUUCAUCUGGGGGUAGUUAAGUGGGUGUCUGCAUUCGUAAAAAUUCUUCACGUUUAUACCCUUAAGAUUAGUGCACUUCACUGCGUUACAAUACACCUCCAAAAAAGUGAAGGUGGUAACACUUCAUCCUUGAGUCCGUAUUUCCCCAUGAGCUCCAAAAUCACGCCACCAAGUUUUAGUGUAAAUUCUCUGCUUUUGUUAUAAUCGAAUCUCCUUUUUUUUUAGCUUGUUUUUGUUUUUUGUUUCUGGCUGCCCCUGCAGCAUGUGGAAAUUCCCUGGCCAGGGACGGAACCUGGCCCGUGACCCACACCACAGCAAUCCUUAACCCACUGAGCAGGUCCACAUAUAGAUACUAGGCAGGUUCAUUACUGCUGAGGCACAAUAUAAACUCCCAGGAAUUCCUCUUUUAUUAAUAAAAAACAAGACAUGGUUUAUCUAUAGAUGCGAAGCUUUUGAAGUUUGUACUUCAAGGCUUUUUGUAGUUCUUUCUAGUUUAUAGUUAUCUUUUCAAUAACUCCUAUUUUUAUUUUUAAUUUAUACUUUUUUUUUUUGUCUUUUUAGGGCCUCAAACCUGCGUCCUCAUGGAUACUAGUCAAAUUUGUUUCCCCUGAGCCAGGACAGGAACUCCCUUCAAGGAUAUUUGUUUGUUUGAUUCUUUCUGCUUUUUUGUUUUUUCUAGGGCCACACCCACAGCGUGUGGAGGUUCGCAAGCUAGGGGUCCAGUCGGAGCUGUCGCCGCCAGCCUAUACCACAGCCACAGCCACGCAGGAUCUGAGCUGCAUCUGCACCCUACACCACAGCUCACAGCAACACUGGAUCCCCAACCCACUGAACCAGGCCAGGGAUCGAAUUGCAACCUCAUGGUUCCUAGUCAGGUUCAUUAACCACUGAGCCAUGACAGGAACUCUGCUUCAAGGAUAUUUGGAAGCAUCUAUAUUUAUGGCCCAUCUCAGAAUGCAAAAGGUUUUUAAAAAUGUAAACCUCUUUGCCUUUUGGAGUGUAAAUAUUUGGGGGCUUAAGAGUCUGAUGCAUCUGUGUGCGACAGAGCUGGUCUCAGCAGGCACCUCACUGGGCUCUCAUGAGGGGAUUUCUUUCACGGAACCGUCUUUGGUAUGUAGCAGGUGUUCGUAGGUGUUAGUCAUUGCCGUUACUGUCUGUAUCACUGCCAUCAUCAAAGCCUGACAAGGCAAGGCUUCCAGGCCUCGCUCUGCCAUGAAAGAGUUGGGCGGAGCAAGGCCUGUGCGUUGGGUCUCUGAGCCUCACUUCCUGAGUGGGCAACAUGAAAAUUGAUGCCCGCUUCAAGGGUUGCUGUGACCGUUACACCAGUGUGGAUGGGAAAGCAGUUGUUUCAAGAAGCAUCAAAGGUUAAUAACACCUGGAACGUUUUCCAGAAGAAAGUUAAAUACAGGAUGGCCUGAUGCGUUCCCCACAGGGUGUACUCUUCGCUUCCGUUUCAUUCGUGUUCAACAAGAUGCGCGUUCAGGCCAUGCUCCAUUUCUGCAGCAAAAAAGGCACUUUGCAGCUAUAUUCUUUGCACGUGAUGCUGAGUAGUAUUUCAGAGCCAGGCCUUAGAAACUUCAAGGCCUGGGAGUUCCUUCGUGGCUCUGGUUAACGAACCCGACUAGGAUCCGUGAGGACUCAGGUUUGAUCCCUGGCCUUGCUCAGUGGGUUAAGGAUCUGGCAUUGCUAUGAGCUGUGGUGUAGGUCACAGACAUGGCUUGGAUCCCAUCAUUUUGCUGUGGCUGUGGCAUAGGGUGGCAGCUGCAGCUCCAAUUUGACCCCUAUCCUGGGAACUUCCAUAUGCCUCUGGUAUGGCCCUAAAAAGACCAAAAAAAAAUUAGCAAAGGAGUUCCUGCUGCAGUGCAAUGAGAUUUAAGUGUCUGUAGCACCAGGACACAGGUUCAACUCCCUGCCCCUCAGAGAGGGCUAAAGGAUCCAGCAUUAUCGAAGCUUCAGCGUAGGUCAGCUUCAGCUGUGUCUCAGAUCUGAUCCAUGGCCCGGGAGCUUCAUGCGCUGCAAAGUGGCCAAAAAAUUUAAAAAGGAAAAAGUUCUUGUCGUGUCUCAGCAGUAACAAACCUGAUUAGUCAUGAGGAUGUGGGUUCAAUCCCUGGCCCGGCUCAGUGGGUUAACAUUCUGCUGUUGCCAUGGGCUGUGGUGUAGGUUGCAUAUGUGGUUUGGAUUUGAUCUCUAGUCUGGGAACUUCCAUAGCCCUCCAAAAAAAAAAAAAUAAAAA
rnacentral:lncRNA from 1 species